rnacentral:rRNA from 1 species
GUCUAUGGCCAUGCCACACUGAACACGCCUGAUGUCUGAUCUCGGAAGCUAAGCAGGGUCGGGUCUGGUUAGUACUUGGAUGGGAGACCACCUAGGAAGACCAGGUGCUGUAGGCA